GAUGAAGAACGUAGCGAAAUGCGAUAAGUAGUGUGAAUUGCAGAAUUCAGUGAAUCAUCGAAUCUUUGAACGCACAUUGCGCCCUUUGGUAUUCCUUAGGGCAUGCCUGUUCGAGCGUCAUUUACAAAUUCAAGCUCAGCUUGGUGAUGGGUGUCUGUCCCGCCUUUGCGUGUGGACUCGCCUCAAAUGCAGUUGGCAGCUUGUUCCUCGGCUCUAAACGCAGCAGAUUUGCGUCAAGCGUCGUGCGGACGGGCUCUCCAGUAAGCAAACCCCCACAAAUUGACCUCGGAUCAGGUAGGGAUACCCGCUGAACUUAAGCAUAUCAAUAAGCGGAGGA
rnacentral:misc_RNA from 1 species